rnacentral:lncRNA from 1 species
UUCCUUUGGAGAUUGUCGCUACUUGUUUCCGGUUUGAGAUCUGUCCGUCAUCUUUGGUUCAAGCUUCAAUUGUUUCGAGUUUUGUGUUGUAGCGUUUUCUCGAUUUCUGUCCGUGUACUAUUAGAAAUUUCAUCAAAAUAGUUCGAUUCGAUUCGAUUUGAUUUCUGUCUGUGUACCAUUGCUUUAACACAUUAACAUGUACCAUUCUUUCGUUUUUUUUUCUUUUUUU